rnacentral:rRNA from 1 species
GACGAGCGCUGGCGGCGUGCUUAACACAUGCAAGUCGAACGGAAAGGCCCUGCUUUUGUGGGGUGCUCGAGUGGCGAACGGGUGAGUAACACGUGAGUAACCUGCCCUUGACUUUGGGAUAACUUCAGGAAACUGGGGCUAAUACCGGAUAGGAGCUCCUGCUGCAUGGUGGGGGUUGGAAAGUUUCGGCGGUUGGGGAUGGACUCGCGGCUUAUCAGCUUGUUGGUGGGGUAGUGGCUUACCAAGGCUUUGACGGGUAGCCGGCCUGAGAGGGUGACCGGCCACAUUGGGACUGAGAUACGGCCCAGACUCCUACGGGAGGCAGCAGUGGGGAAUAUUGCACAAUGGGCGGAAGCCUGAUGCAGCAACGCCGCGUGCGGGAUGAUGGCCUUCGGGUUGUAAACCGCUUUCGCCUGUGACGAAGCGUGAGUGACGGUAAUGGGUAAAGAAGCACCGGCUAACUACGUG